UACCUGCAGCUCGAGUGGUAACCGCUAUUAUUGGGCCUAAAGCGUCCGUAGCCGGUUUGGUAAAUAUCUGGGUAAAUCGUGAGGCUUAACUUCACGAAUUUCGGAUAGACUGCCAGACUUGGGAUCGGGGGAGGUCAGAGGUACUCCAGGGGUAGCGGUGAAAUGUUGUAAUCCUUGGAGGACCACCGGUAGCGAAGGCGUCUGACUAGAACGAGUCCGACGGUGAGGGACGAAGCCCUGGGGCGCAAACCGGAUUAGAUACCCGGGUAGUCCAGGGUGUAAACGAUGUGGGCUUUGUAUUGGAGGUCCCACGUGGGCGUCCAGUGCAGAAGAGAAGUUGUUAAGCCCACCGCCUGGGAAGUACGGUCGCAAGGCUGAAACUUAAAGGAAUUGGCGGGGAGCACAGCAACGGGAGGAGCGGUGCGGUUU
rnacentral:rRNA from 1 species